rnacentral:rRNA from 1 species
GAUGAACGCUAGCGGCAGGCUUAAUACAUGCAAGUCGAGGGGCAGCAUGAUUGUAGCAAUACAAUUGAUGGCGACCGGCAAACGGGUGCGGAACACGUACACAACCUUCCAAUGAGUGGGGAAUAGCCCAGAGAAAUUUGGAUUAAUACCCCGUAACAUAACGAUGUGGCAUCACAUUGUUAUUAUAGAUUUUUCGCUUAUUGAUGGGUGUGCGGCUGAUUAGAUAGUUGGCGGGGUAACGGCCCACCAAGUCUACGAUCAGUAGCGGAUGUGAGAGCAUGAUCAGCCACACGGGCACUGAGACACGGGCCCGACUCCUACGGGAGGCAGCAGUAAGGAAUAUUGGACAAUGGACGCAAGUCUGAUCCAGCCAUGCCGCGUGAAGGAUUAAGGUCCUCUGGAUUGUAAACUUCUUUUAUAAGGGACGAAAAAAGGCUUUUCUAAGUCGUCUGACGGUACCUUAUGAAUAAGCACCGGCUAACUCCGUGCCAGCCGCCGCCGUAAAAC